UAAAGCAAAACAAAACAACAAAACUAAAAAAAUGAACAGCACACGAAUCGCUGCAAAUAAAGGGGAAAUGGAAUGCAUUUCAGUCACAUGUGGAUUGAGCAAUUGAAUUGCAAAGGAUACCCCAGGGCAUGGCUGGCCAGCACACGGACUGUU